GUAUGGUGCAAGCGUUAUCCGGAUUUACUGGGUGUAAAGGGAGCGUAGACGGAGUGGCAAGUCUGAUGUGAAAACCCGGGGCUCAACCCCGGGACUGCAUUGGAAACUGUCAAUCUGGAGUACCGGAGAGGUAAGCGGAAUUCCUAGUGUAGCGGUGAAAUGCGUAGAUAUUAGGAGGAACACCAGUGGCGAAGGCGGCUUACUGGACGGUAACUGACGUUGAGGCUCGAAAGCGUGGGGGGCAAAUAGGAUUAGAUACCCUAGUAGUCCACGCCGUAAACGAUGAGUACUAAGUGUUGGGAGUCAAAUCUCAGUGCUGCAGUUAACGCAAUAAGCACUCCGCCUGAGUAGU
rnacentral:rRNA from 1 species